UACGUAGGGUGCAAGCGUUAAUCGGAAUUACUGGGCGUAAAGCGUGCGCAGGCGGUUUUGUAAGCCAGAUGUGAAAGCCCCGGGCUCAACCUGGGAAUGGCAUUUGGGACUGCAAGGCUGGAGUUUGGCAGAGGAGACUGGAAUUCCUGGUGUAGCAGUGAAAUGCGUAGAUAUCAGGAGGAAUACCGAUGGCGAAGGCAGGUCUCUGGGCUAUAACUGACGCUCAUGCACGAAAGCGUGGGGAGCAAACAGG
rnacentral:rRNA from 1 species